rnacentral:rRNA from 1 species
GCGCAAGCGGUGGAGUAUGUGGUUUAAUUCGACGCAACGCGCAGACCUUACCUGGUCUUGACAUCCCGGGAAUUUCCUUGAAAGAGGGAAGUGCCUCGCAAGAGGAGCCUGGAGACAGGUGCUGCAUGGCUGUCGUCAGCUCGUGUCGUGAGAUGUUGGGUUAAGUCCCGCAACGAGCGCAACCCUUGUCUUUAGUUGCCAUCAUUCAGUUGGGCACUCUAAAGAGACUGCCGGUGUCAAACCGGAGGAAGGUGGGGGAUGACGUCAAGUCCUCAUGGCCUUUAUGACCAGGGCUACACACGUACUACAAUGGCCGGUACAAAGGGCAGCCACUUAGCGAUAAGGAGCCAAUCCCGUAAAGCCGGUCUCAGUCCGGAUUGUUCUCUGCAACUCGAGAGCAUGAAGUCGGAAUCGCUAGUAAUCGCAGGUCAGCAUACUGCGGUGAAUACGUUCCCGGGUCUU